AUAAUGAUACUUCUGGCGAAAGUCAGUCACAUAGAAAAGAUGAUGGUGCAAGUCCAAUGU
rfam:Lachnospiraceae bacterium COE1 genomic scaffold acPFN-supercont1.2, whole genome shotgun sequence.